GCUCUUGUAGCUCAAUUGGACAGAGCACCUGUCUUCUAAACAGGGGGUUCUGGGUUCGAGUCCCAGCAGGAGUACCA
rnacentral:tRNA from 1 species